GAUUAACGCUGGCGGCGUGCCUAACACAUGCAAGUCGAACGAAGUGGCGGACGGGUGAGUAACGCGUGAGUAACCUGCCUUAGAGAAGGGGAUAGCCUUUGGACACGAAGAAUAAUACCCUAUGCUCUAUGAUGGACUUGCGUCUGAUUGGUUAGUUGGGGGGGUAACGGCCCACCAAGACAGCGAUCAGUAGCCGGCUUGAGAGGGUGUACGGCCACCUUGGGACAGGGACACGGCCCAGACUCUACGGGAGGCAGCAGUGGGGAAGUUUGCACAAUGCGGGAAACCCUGAUGCAGCGGCGCCGCGUGAUUUAGAAGGCCUUCGGGUUGUAAAAAUCUUUUCUAUGGGAAGCAGUACCAUAGGAAUAAGGACCGGCUAAUUACGUGCCAGCAGCCGCGGUAAUUC
rnacentral:rRNA from 1 species